AUAUAUAUAUACUACUACUACUAGCUUAACCAAGCUAGGCUAGGGCAUAUAUAUAUAUACUAAAUUACUACAAAUUAUUUUUGUUUUUGUUGGGUUUUGAGAAGCAAAAUAUGAGUGACACAAAAAAUGCUUAUGUAAACCCUUCAGAAACUUAUCAAGGAGCUCCCGAUAUAAUGUCAGCUCCUCAAUAUCCACCUAAUAAUGCGGAACCUCAAAAAGAACCUGGUUUUCUUGAAGGGUGCCUUGCAGCUCUUUGUUGUUGCUGUACUAUGGAUGAGUGUUGCUGUGAUCCUAUGCUAUAUUGCUCUGGCUAAGUACAACAUAAAUAUGCAUCAUAAUAUUAUGAAUGUAAUAUUAUUUUGUGAAAUUGUAGAUUUUAGUUUAAAUAAAUGUACUUAGUUUGAUAAACAAAGAAUUGUUAAAUAAUUGUGUGUGCAUGUCAUUACAUAAAUAUAUAUUUUAUGGAAAGAGAUGCACUUUGUAGUUUCUCAAAUCAAUAAAUGUGACACAUAUUCUACUAA